UACGUAGGGUGCGAGCGUUAAUCGGAAUUACUGGGCGUAAAGCGUGCGCAGGCGGUUCGUUGUGUCGGAUGUGAAAGCCCCGGGCUCAACCUGGGAAUGGCAUUGGAAACUGGCGAACUGGAGUGUGGCAGAGGGGGGUGGAAUUCCGCGUGUAGCAGUGAAAUGCGUAGAGAUGCGGAGGAACACCGAUGGCGAAGGCAGCCCCCUGGGCUGACACUGACGCUCAGGCACGAAAGCGUGGGGAGCAAACAGG
rnacentral:rRNA from 1 species